rnacentral:rRNA from 1 species
ACGUUAGCGGCGGACGGGUGAGUAACACGUGGGUAACCUACCUAUAAGACUGGGAUAACUCCGGGAAACCGGGGCUAAUACCGGAUAACACAUGAAACCGCAUGGUUUCACGAUGAAAGACGGUUUUGCUGUCACUUAUAGAUGGACCCGCGGCGUAUUAGCUAGUUGGUAAGGUAACGGCUUACCAAGGCAACGAUACGUAGCCGACCUGAGAUGGUGAUCGGCCACACUGGAACUGAGACACGGUCCAG